rfam:Oryza glumipatula chromosome 5, whole genome shotgun sequence.
AAAAAGACAAACUCUGGAUUUAUGUGUUCAAUUUUAACUGUCUGUCUUAUAUAAAAUUUUUUUAUAAUUUGUAUUUUCAUUGUUGUUAGAUGAUAAAAUAUGAUUAAUAUUUUAUGUGUGACUUGUCUUUUUAAUUUUUUUUAUAAUUUUUUUAAAUAAGACGGACGGUCAAACGUUGGACACGAAAACUAUGGUUUGUCUUUUU